UGGGGAAUAUUGGACAAUGGGCGAAAGCCUGAUCCAGCAAUGCCGCGUGAGUGAUGAAGGCCCUAGGGUUGUAAAGCUCUUUUACCCGGGAUGAUAAUGACAGUACCGGGAGAAUAAGCUCCGGCUAACUUCGUGCCAGCAGCCGCGGUAAUACGAGGGGAGCUAGCGUUGUUCGGAAUUACUGGGCGUAAAGCGCGCGUAGGCGGUUUUUUAAGUCAGAGGUGAAAGCCCGGGGCUCAACCCCGGAAUUGCCUUUGAAACUGGAAAACUAGAAUCUUGGAGAGGUCAGUGGAAUUCCGAGUGUAGAGGUGAAAUUCGUAGAUAUUCGGAAGAACACCAGUGGCGAAGGCGACUGACUGGACAAGUAUUGACGCUGAGGUGCGAAAGCGUGGGGAGCAAACA
rnacentral:rRNA from 1 species